rnacentral:rRNA from 1 species
GACGUAGGGCGCGAGCGUUGUCCGGAUUUAUUGGGCGUAAAGAGCUCGUAGGCGGCUUGUCGCGUCGUCCGUGAAAACUUGGGGCUCAACCCCAAGCUUGCGGUCGAUACGGGCAGGCUCGAGUUCGGUAGGGGAGACUGGAAUUCCUGGUGUAGCGGUGAAAUGCGCAGAUAUCAGGAAGAACACCCGUGGCGAAGGCGGCUCUCUGGUACGGAACUGACGCUGAGACGCGAAAGCGUGGGGAGCGAACAGG